rnacentral:tRNA from 1 species
CAUUAGAUAACUUAAGUAAGUAUUGGUCUUUUGAACCAUAUUAUAGUAAUCUAACAAAUACUUCUAAUG